rnacentral:piRNA from 1 species
UGCCAAGGACUGCACACUGUGUGGAUGUGU